rnacentral:rRNA from 1 species
AUUGAACGCUGGCGGCAGGCCUAACACAUGCAAGUCGAACGGUAACAGGAAACAGCUUGCUGUUUCGCUGACGAGUGGCGGACGGGUGAGUAAUGUCUGGGAAACUGCCUGAUGGAGGGGGAUAACUACUGGAAACGGUAGCUAAUACCGCAUAACGUCGCAAGGCCAAAGAGGGGGACCUUCGGGCCUCUGGCCAUCGGAUCUGCCCAGAUGGGAUUAGCUAGGAGGUGGGGUAACGGCUCACCUAGGCGACGAUCCCUAGCUGGUCUGAGAGGAUGACCAGCCACACUGGAACUGAGACACGGUCCAGACUCCUACGGGAGGCAGCAGUGGGGAAUAUUGCACAAUGGGCGCAAGCCUGAUGCAGCCAUGCCGCGUGUAUGAAGAAGGCCUUCGGGUUGUAAAGUACUUUCAGCGGGGAGGAAGGGAGUAAAGUCAAUACCUUUGCUCAUUGACGUUACCCGCAGAAGAAGCACCGGCUAACUCCGUGCCAGCAGCCGCCGUAA